CGGAUCCAAUUCGUCCGCUUCGAGCUUCGGCUCGACUCUCCCACCCUUUGUGAACGUACCUCUGUUGCUUUGGCGGCUUCGGCCGCCAAAGGACCUUCAAACUCCAGUCAGUAAACGCAGACGUCUGAUAAACAAGUUAAUAAACUAAAACUUUCAACAACGGAUCUCUUGGUUCUGGCAUCGAUGAAGAACGCAGCGAAAUGCGAUAAGUAAUGUGAAUUGCAGAAUUCAGUGAAUCAUCGAAUCUUUGAACGCACAUUGCGCCCCUUGGUAUUCCGGGGGGCAUGCCUGUUCGAGCGUCAUUACAACCCUCAAGCUCUGCUUGGAAUUGGGCACCGUCCUCACUGCGGACGCGCCUCAAAGACCUCGGCGGUGGCUGUUCAGCCCUCAAGCGUAGUAGAAUACACCUCGCUUUGGAGCGGUUGGCGUCGCCCGCCGGACGAACCUUCUGAACUUUUCUCAAGGUUGACCUCGGAUCAGGUAGGGAUACCCGCUGAACUUAAGCAUAUCAAUAAGCGGAGGAA
rnacentral:rRNA from 1 species